rnacentral:rRNA from 1 species
UGGGGAAUAUUGGACAAUGGGCGAAAGCCUGAUCCAGCAAUGCCGCGUGUGUGAAGAAGGUCUUCGGAUUGUAAAGCACUUUCGACGGGGACGAUGAUGACGGUACCCGUAGAAGAAGCCCCGGCUAACUUCGNGCCAG